ACGAACGCUGGCGGCGUGCUUAACCCCUGCCAGUCGAACGGAAAGGCCCUGCUUGCAGGGUACUCGAGUGGCGAACGGGUGAGUAACACGUGGGUGAUCUGCCCUGCACUUCGGGAUAAGCUUGGGAAACUGGGUCUAAUACCGGAUAGGAACCAUCUUUAGUGUGGUGGUUGGAAAGUUUUUUCGGUGUAGGAUGAGCUCGCGGCCUAUCAGCUUGUUGGUGGGGUAAUGGCCUACCAAGGCGGCGACGGGUAGCCGGCCUGAGAGGGUGUACGGCCACAUUGGGACUGAGAUACGGCCCAGACUCCUACGGGAGGCAGCAGUGGGGAAUAUUGCACAAUGGGCGCAAGCCUGAUGCAGCGACGCCGCGUGGGGGAUGAAGGCCUUCGGGUUGUAAACUCCUUUCGCUAGGGACGAAGCUUUGUUGUGACGGUACCUAGAGAAGAAGCACCGGCUAACUACGUG
rnacentral:rRNA from 1 species